UGUCGAUGCAGUUGUUCCUACUGUUGUUGGUUCUGUUCUUGUUGGAGCCUGUGUAGUUGAUUCUGUGGUAGGGGUUAGUUCUGUUGUUGCUGCUGUAGUUAAUGUUGUACUUGGAGCUGUAGUUGUUGCUUCCUCAGUUGGAGCUGGAGUAGUUGUAGAUGCAGUUGUUGGUACUGUUGUUGGUUCUGUGCUUGUUGUAGCCUGUGAAGUUGAUUCUGUGGUAGUGGUUAGUUCUGUUGUUGCUGCUGUAGAUGAUGUUGUACUUGGAGCUGUAGUUGUUUCCCCUCUAGUUGUUGCUUCCUCAGUUGGAGUAGUUGGACCUGGAGUAGUUGUAGAUGCGGUUGUUCCUUCUGUUGUUGGUUCUCCACUUGUUGUAACCUGUGUAGUUGAUAGUUCUGUAGUUGUUAUUGUUGUCAGUACAUUUGUACUUGUAGUUUCCUCUGUAGUACUUGGUUCCUGAGUUGUAGUGGUUGGGGCUACAGUUGUUGUAGAUGCUGUUGUUGGUACUGUUGUUGGUUCUGUGCUUGUUGUAGCCUGUGUAGUUGAUUCUGUGGUAGUGGUUAGUUCUGUUGUUGCUGCUGUAGUUAAUGUUGUACUUAGAGCUGUAGUUGUUUCCUCUGUAGUUGUUGCUUCCUCAUUGUUUGCUUCCUCAGUUGGAGUAGUUGGAGCUGGAGUAGUUGUAGAUGCAGUUGUUCCUACUGUUGUUGGUUCUGUGCUUGUUGUAGCU
ensembl:lncRNA